AAUGAACGCUGGCGGCAGGCCUAACACAUGCAAGUCGAGCGAGCGGCGGACGGGUGAGAAAUGUAUGGGGACUCCCGGAUAUAGGGGGAAGACAACGGGAAACGGUAGCUAAUAACGCAUAGUAUCGGCUAACCCAUCUGGGAUUAGCUAGUAGGUGAGGUAAUGGCUCACCUAGGCGACGAUCCCUAGCUGGUCGGAGAGGAUGAUCAGCCCCACUGGGAUGGAGAAACGGCCCCGAUUCCUCCGGAGGCUGCGGGGGGGAUUAUUGCACAAUGAGCACAAGCCUGAUGCAGCCAUGCCCCGUGUAUGAGGAAGGCCCUAGGUUUGUAAAGUACUUUCAGUCGGGAGGCGUUACCGACAGAAGAAGCACCGGCUAACUCCGUGCCAGCAGCCGCGGUAAUAC
rnacentral:rRNA from 1 species